CCUACGGGAGGCAGCAGUGGGGAAUAUUGCACAAUGGGGGAAACCCUGAUGCAGCAACGCCGCGUGAGUGAAGAAGUAUUUCGGGAUGUAAAGCUCUAUUAGCAGGGAAGAAGAUGACGGUACCUGAUUAAGCAGCCCCGGCCAACUCGGUGCCAGCAGGCGUGGUACUACGUAGGGGGCAAGCGUUAUCCGGAUUUACUGGGGGUAAAGGGAGCGCAGAGGGGAGUGCAAGUCUGGAGUGAAAGCCCGGGGCCCAACCCCGGAACUGCACUGGAAACUGUGAGGCUAGAGUACUGGAGGGGCAGGCGGAAUGCGUAGUGUAGCGGUGAAAUGCGUAGAUAUUAGGAGGAACGCCGGUGGCGAAGGCAGCCUGCUGGACAGUAACUGACGUUGAGGCUCGAAAGCGUGGGGAGCAAACAGGAUUAGAUACCCCAGUAGUC
rnacentral:rRNA from 1 species